CCUCCAGUGAAGGGUCUUCAGAAUAGAAGUUCUGCUGCAGCAGCUUAAAACAUCUCAGGCCUUUGCACUCUGGUCUUAUCUGAGUUUGGCAUCAUUAACUGCCAAUCUGGAGAGUUGACAGUAUGUGGCCGGUCCUUUUUGAAGAGCCUCUGCGUGCCUCUCAUUAAUGGAACAAAUAGAAUCAGCUCUCGCCCUUACUAAAGAAUAGCUCCUUUCCGAUGGUUUCAAGUUUGUUAUUGCCUGU